rnacentral:rRNA from 1 species
GAUGAACGCUGGCGGCGUGCCUAAUACAUGCAAGUCGAGCGAACAGACGAGGAGCUUGCUCCUCUGACGUUAGCGGCGGACGGGUGAGUAACACGUGGAUAACCUACCUAUAAGACUGGGAUAACUUCAGGAAACCGGAGCUAAUACCGGAUAAUAUAUUGAACCGCAUGGUUCAAUGGUGAAAGACGGUUUUGCUGUCACUUAUAGAUGGAUCCGCGCCGCAUUAGCUAGUUGGUAAGGUAACGGCUUACCAAGGCAACGAUGCGUAGCCGACCUGAGAGGGUGAUCGGCCACACUGGAACUGAGACACGGUCCAGACUCCUACGGGAGGCAGCAGUAGGGAAUCUUCCGCAAUGGGCGAAAGCCUGACGGAGCAACGCCGCGUGAGUGAUGAAGGUCUUCGGAUCGUAAAACUCUGUUAUUAGGGAAGAACAAAUGUGUAAGUAACUAUGCACGUCUUGACGGUACCUAAUCAGAAAGCCACGGCUAACUACGUG